CAACCCCAAUAUGCUUUAUAUUAAUAAAUGCCGAGCAAUCGGCUAUGACACUAGAGGCACUGCGAAAUAGAAAUUUCGGACCCGGGGGCAGUACCCGGCACCUCCACCAAAAAAAUCAUCGGGGGUGAAACAGGUUAGACGGGGUUUAAUAAAGGCUGUUGUUGUGUUCGGUGAGAUACCACCGUUAUCGGUUCAACUUAAAAUAAAUGCUAACGAUAAUGAAUUAGCACCAGUUGCUUUGGCUGCUUAAUUGUAGUCGCAACGAAUCCAAAUUCCUGUUGUCUUGGUUGACGACAGGUGGGGAACGAGCCUCCUAGCAACAGAACGGCUC
rnacentral:tmRNA from 1 species